rnacentral:rRNA from 1 species
ACAACCAGGAUGUUGGCUUAGAAGCAGCCACCAUUGAAAGAGUGCGUAAUAGCUCACUGGUCGAGUGACCCCGCGCCGAAAAUGUACCGGGGCUAAACAUAUUACCGAAACUGUGGAUGAACCUCUUUAGAGGUUCGUGGUAGGAGAGCGUUCUAAGGGCGGUGAAGUCAGACCGGAAGGACUGGUGGAGCGCUUAGAAGUGAGAAUGCCGGUAUGAGUAGCGAAAGAAGGGUGAGAAUCCCUUCCACCGAAUAUCUAAGGUUUCCUGAGGAAGGCUCGUCCGCUCAGGGUUAGUCGGGACCUAAGCCGAGGCCGAUAGGCGUAGGCGAUGGACAACAGGUAGAGAUUCCUGUACCAGUGCUAAUUGUUUAACCGAUGGGGUGACACAGAAGGAUAGGGAAUCGCACGAAUGGAAAUGUGCGUCCAAGCAGUGAGUGUGAG